UAGGGAAUCUUCCGCAAUGUGCGAAAGCUUGACGGAGCAACGCCGCGUGAGUGAUGAAGGUCUUCGGAUCGUAAAACUCUGUUAUUAGGGAAGAACAAAUGUGUAAGUAACUAUGCACGUCUUGACGGUACCUCAUCAGAAAGCCACGGCUAACUACGUGCCAGCAGCCGCGGUAAUACGUAGGUGGCAAGCGUUAUCCGGAAUUAUUGGGCGUAAAGCGCGCGUAGGCGGUUUUUUAAGUCUGAUGUGAAAGCCCACGGCUCAACCGUGGAGGGUCAUUGGAAACUGGAAAACGUGAGUGCAGAAGAGGAAAGUGGAAUUCCAUGUGUAGCGGUGAAAUGCGCAGAGAUAUGGAGGAACACCAGUGGCGAAGGCGACUUUCUGGUCUGUAACUGACGCUGAUGUGCGAAAGCGUGGGGAUCAAACAGG
rnacentral:rRNA from 1 species